AACCUUAUGGACCUGCGGGCGUAUACCUGCGGAAGGAUCAUUACAGAGUUCAUGCCCUCACGGGUAGAUCUCCCACCCUUGAAUACUAUACCUUUGUUGCUUUGGCGGGCCGCUUUGGCUACUGGCUCUGGCUAGUAAGUGCCCGCCAAAGAACCCCAAAACUCUGAAUAUUAGUGUCGUCUGAGUACUAUAUAAUAGUUAAAACUUUUAACAAUGGAUCU
rnacentral:misc_RNA from 1 species